UGGAGCGAGGAGCCCAUUGGGCACGACCGCACCAACCCUAGCUCCCGAUCCACAGCCACGCACUCCUCCCUCCUCCCUCUCACAGCCACCACACCCCGUUCCUCUCUUCCUCCUCCCUCCUCCUUCCCGGAUCCCUGCCACCGCCACACCCACUCGUCUCCUCCUCUCUCUUCUAGCUAACUCCUCCUUCCUGAUCUCUGCGUUAGCCGCAGCGCGAGAGGAACAGCAGCAGCGGAGAUGCUCCGAUGGCGGAGUCGAGUUGUGAAGCGGCGGCGCCCGAGCGCGAGUCGACAAAAGCUGGAGCGGCUACUCUGGGCCCCGAUCUGGGGGGUUCGGUUCCAGGGCGCCGACGGCUUCUUUGUCUAUGACGCGGGGCCGAGCCGCCGGGGGAAGCCUUGGAUUCAUGCAGGGGGGCUCCCUGGGGGGUGCAGAGGAGGGGUUGGACGAGCGGGUGAGGAUGCGUGAGGCCAGAAGGAGUUUGGGGUCGCCAGAGGAGCAUAGCCCGCACGGGGGCUGGUCAUCGCCAGAGCAGAGGGGAGGAGGUCGAUGCAGGGGACGCCAUGGAUGGUCGGGGCGCUGGCUCCUCCUUUCGCCAUGCCACAGCUGCCUAGAUCCGGCGAUCCCCUCCCACUCUGGCAUCCAUGUUGGUUGACUCGAUCUCUCAAUCACCCCAUCGCCGCGCUGCACACCGUCGUCAAGGACCAAGCCGCCGCCGCCACGGUGUCCUCCUCCCCGGUGGCCGCGGGUGCCCUGCCCGCCAAGCUUCCCAUUCUUAUCUUUCUGGAGGAAAUCUGGUAGUGCUCGAGUGCACGGUGAUGCUGUCACAGUAUCCCCCUCCCCGGUGCUCUUAGAUCCAGCAGUAGCUCAACGCAGGAAAGCUGGUUGUGCUCGAUCUGCUCGCCUCCUUCACCUCGCAGGCUCAGCAAGCGGCAACAAGCUGAAGCCUGCUCUCAUUAUGCCUACCACCUCUCUAUGAGAUCAGUAGGUUUGAUCGCCUCGUCUGCAAUUUGGCUGAUUCCAGAUAGUAUUCUUGUUCUGUAUGGGAGAUACGAGUUUGGAUGUAGCUCACUGACCAGGAGAACCUGCGAUGCCAGCAGACCAAUCUAGAUCUGCACGUGUUGAAUAUGCAAACAGUUAUGUAGUAUGUGCAGUUUACUUGCUCUGUUUUUACGGGGAUUUUGGAAUUUCCAUACAUGCAUGACGCAGAUCCGUUCUGUGAUUUCCAUUGUCUAUUUACUGGUGACCCAUGUGUGUCUUAUUUCCAUCUUUCUUUGUCUUGAUAUAGCUAAAGGUCAACUGCUAGCCCAUCCGUGCAAUUCACUAAUUUAAUUAUGCCUGCUUGCUCGAAGUCUAUUUUAUAGAUGGCCAGCAUAUUAUCGUGGGAGGUGUUUAACUAUUUUCUCUGGAAUAAACUGAAAGCUGAUUAUUUUGAAAAUGCAUCAUAUCGCACUGAUUUAUAAUAAGAUUGUUACGCAUCAUGAGUUUUUGGCAUAUACUUUUGAGUUAUAUAUUGCCAUUCCAAGUUGCCAACUAACUGAUACAUGGUUAUGGUUGAGGAACAAUGUUGAGCAGUGCAAGGUUACACCAUCACAGUUCAAACACAUCUUUUUUGGCUGAUAGUUUUUGAGAUAGCUUAUUGCUUAUGCCCAAUGGGAGUUUAAUUGGGAAUCUUUAAUAUUCUAAGAAUCACACCGGCGCAACACGCUUAGGUUGUUUCCAGAUCUCAUGUUUGUCUAAGUCACCAAGUUAACCCACAAGAAUUUGUUUACUUUCUUGGCUAUUGUGGUUAAAGGCAUCCUUUUAUUAGAGCUAUAUAUAGUUUUUGGACAUGUUCCAGUUUGGUUAUUUUUUUAUGGAUUUUGAAUAUGUUUCAAUUUGAUCACUUUUGAGACUCAGUUAGAACAGAUAAUUUUUGUUUCUUUACCAUAUAGUUCCUAAUCAGAAAAGCCUCAUCUGCAAGUUGGAGGCAUUGGCGUGAAGGUGUCGUGAGUUAUCUGCAAGGGCAUUGUUGUGACGUGCUCCUCCAUGUCUCCCGCGAGUUCUUGGUGUGGCGACCAUGGCUCCAGAGAGCAGCGCUUCAAGGUGUGGCUGCAGGUAAAGUUGUCAAGAUGAUCUGGUGCUUGCUCGAGCCGUUGAUUACUGCUGCUUUGCAGGUUCAAGGUCUUACUACAUGAGAAAUUUAUUCCAAUGCUUGCUCAACCCCUUUACCAUGAUGACUACCAGUGGAACCUUCGAUGUGUAUAGAAGGUGAUGCAUAUGGGGACAGACAAGAACUAGCGAACUUAAUAUCAGAACUAUGAAUUCUUUAAUUAUUGGAGGUUUUCAUAUUCAUAUCAACACAAGGCGAGAUAUGAUGCAGUUGCAGAGAGUAUGGGCACAAAAGUUUUGAAGAAAUUUGUGAAUGUUGUCAUUAAGAUCUUUGAAGAGAGAUAUCUCCUUGUACCAAAUGAAGCAGAUGCUACAAGGCUUCUGUAGAUGGGUGCAUCAAAUGGCUUCCCUAGUAUUUGUGGAAGCAUAAAAUGUAUGCAUUGGAGCGACAUCAUGGGUGCCGGUGGCAGAAUGACGGAGGAGCGGGAGAAGCAGGAGCUACUCGGCCACGCUAGCGCCAGUGAGAUCUUCUAGCGUGCGCCGAUGGACAAGCCGGCAUUCACGCUGGCCCAGAUCAAGGAGGCAAUCCCGCCUUACUGCUUCCAGUGCUCGUUGAUCAAGUCCUUCUCCUAUGUGGUCUAUGACCUCGUCAUCAGUGCAUCCCUCUUGUACACCGUGUUGGUCUGGAUCCCAACACUCCCGAGCAUGCAACAGCUGGGCACAUGUCCGCUCUACUGGGUGCCUCAUUUUGAUUUUCUUACCUUGAGGGCUGCGACGAGGCAGACAGGUGGUGGGCAGCAACAAUAGGGGUUGGCGGAUGCUCCGAGACCAAUAGCCUACUUAGUGAUGGGAAGGAGGAUCCGACAAGUUAGCCCCCACAGUUGUGUUGUUGGAGAACUUCUGCGAGCUCAGUAAAAUAAUGAAUCUUCAUCUCCGAUGUUUUCUCUCAAAAAUGGAGCGCGGAUCGCAGGAGCAAGGAGCUGGUCGAGUGUAGUGAACAAGAAAUCAACGCGGCACAUGUGGAAGUUGUGAGAGCUGUGAAUGGCACCGGUCUUGUCAUACUAAUGAGCAGGAGCACCGGCCACAUUACUCGUCAUGCCACUCGGUAAUGCCCCGGACACACCCGCUGGUGGUCGUUACUCCUGGCGGGAUCUAGACUGGCCUAACAGAUCAAUACUAGUCUUUUCUGCGCACUUUCUCCUCACUCAUGCGCACCCGGGAGCAACUUCCCGGUCGGUCACCCAUCCUGAAAUUACUCCAAGCUAAGCAUGCUUAACUUUGGAGUUCUUUCCGAAUGGGCUCCCAAAAAAGAAGUAAUUCCUUAUUGAUAUGAGUACUCUAUCAUCCCUAAUAAGCCAUGCUAUCACAUACACCCCCACUUAGAGGAACCGAUGUCCUCGUCGGGCCACAUGAACGUUCCCUCUUGGCACAUACGUCUGUGCAUCCAGUCCGGCACAUGUGCCAUGCCGUGUGCCACGACGGGUCACAAACGUCAUGAACAACAUGAUUGCGCACCUGUUCGCAAACAUCCAUGUAACCGCGAGGGUCGGCUCUGAUACCAACUUGUAACGCCCCGGACACACCCGCUGGUGGUCGUUACUCCUGGCGGGAUCUAGACUGGCCUCAUAGAUCAAUACUAGUCUUUUCUGCACACUUUGUCCUCACUCGUGCGCACCUGGGAGCAACUUCCCGGUCGGUCACUCAUCCUGAAAUUACUCCAAGCUAAGCACGCUUAACUUUGGAGUUCUUUCCGAAUGGGCUCCUGGAAAAGAAGGAAUUCCUUAUUGAUAUGAGUAGUCUAUCAUCCCUAAUAAGCCAGGCUAUCACACACUCUGAGCAGUUGGCUGCUGCUUGAGAUUGAUUUCCAUGUUCAAGGGAAGGGAGACCUGAUUGAGUUCCUGUAUAUGCAAGAAGAAGGGGCAUUAUCGUGGUUGUUGUUGAAGGUGUUGGUCAGGAGCUGAUUACCGGGACUGAUGACAAGAACGAAGAGCAGGAUGAGUAUGUCAACAUGUUGUUCCUUAACGUUGGCCUUCUUCUAUAAAUUUCACAUGCAACUCUCCUCCAUGGUUAGAAAAAGCUAAUUUAAACGUUUUGUUUCUUUGAUGGUUACUCAUUUCUCUUACCGUUGUUGUAUCAAAACAAUUGUAUUUUCGCUGAUGGCCGCUUGGGCUCAUUUU